rnacentral:lncRNA from 1 species
UUUUCUUUAGUUCUACACUAGGUCGCCUUAGCGAAUAUCACCGGAUAGGCACGAGAGGUAAGUCUAAAGUAAGUGUUCUUUUCAGGUUCCAGACUCCGACUGACUUGCUCCGGAUCCGCAUCUUCCUCGGAGCCGGGAGAUGACAGCCGGAAGAUACUUCUAACGCCAUCUACCUCCGCUUUGGCUUCGCACGCCACCUACUCCACGCCGCCAUCUUACAUAUACUGGGUGAGUAUAGACUAGUGACAUUUAUUCUUCUCUUACAUAUACGGUGAGUAGGAACUAGUGACAUUAACUUUCAGUCUUACAACAUUUUCCCGAAAACUAGAUGAGAAAAUGUUGGUACUAACCAAAUUCUCUAGGCAAUACCGUUUCAAUUUCUGCAGUUUCUUUGAUGUGCCUUGACAGACAAGAUUUAUGAUUGAAAUCUGGUUUUACAUAUUAAAAUCAUUGUCAGCCGAGAAACAAAAUCUGUGCAAAAUAAAAUAGAAACAUAAAGAAGGAAGAGGGAAAAAAAUAAAUGGAGAAUAAACAAAUAUAUAUCAGAUAAGUAGCUAAUAUCUUUAUAAAAAAUUAUGUAUUCUAUAUGUGCUUUUUGUAGAUGAACCGAUUCUUUUCUUGAAUUAAUUUUUUGUUUCAGCUUCUUAGCCAAUUGUAGAAUGUUGACAGCUGGAUCACCAGAGAACAAUUUCUUGCCGAAUAAAGCUGUCAAAUUCUAAGCCUGCUACUUCUUCGAGUAUGUCAAAAUUGUGAGCAAAAAAGUUGAAAUUAUAUUGUAACAUCAAUUAGAUUUAUCAACGGUGGAGUAACAGAUUGAUACAACAAACUGAGAGCAGGUUUGUCGAAAUUGUUUGUUCUACAAAGCAUAUGUGCUGUUUGUCUCAGCAAUGUACCGACAUUAUUUAAACUAAAAGAGAUCCCAGAUAGCACGGAGAGUUUAAAAAGAACUCAAUUGUAUGUCACCAAUUAUGUUACCAAUUAUGAAUUCUUUUUGAAUCUCUGUGCUAUCUGGGAUACUAUUGUGUUUAUCGUCAACCUGUCAUGAACGCUUUCGAUAGACCUGCUCAUUGUUUACUGUUAUUUUGUUAUAUAGUCUGCUGAUCGGUAUACACCUUUUAUCUUUCAGCAAACAGAAAAUGUGCUACCUACAUUGGCUUUUACAAGAAUGGGUUUAGAAGUAGCGAUUGAUGCUUGUCCAACAAUCGAAGAUCAUUUCAUAAGUGAAUACACUAUUUGAUGUAAAAUAAACCAAAAUUAUCUUUUUAAAAACGGUAAAAAA